AGAGUUUGAUCCUGGCUCAGAACGAACGCUGGCGGCGUGCCUAACACAUGCAAGUCGUACGAGAAAUCCUGGGCAACUGGGAGAGUAAAGUGGCGCACGGGUGAGUAACGCGUGGGUAACCUACCCUUGAAUUGGGGAUAACUCCUCGAAAGGGGAGUUAAUACCGAAUAAUAUUCCAAUUUCUCCGGGAGUUGGAAUCAAAGGUGGCCUCUACAUGUAAGCUAUCGUUUAAGGAUGGGCCCGCGUACCAUUAGCUAGUUGGUAGGGUAAUAGCCUACCAAGGCAACGAUGGUUAGCUGGUCUGAGAGGAUGGCCAGCCACACUGGAACUGAGACACGGUCCAGACUCCUACGGGAGGCAGCAGUGGGGAAUCUUGCGCAAUGGGGGAGACCUUGACGCAGCAACGCCGCGUGGAUGAUGAAGGCCUUCGGGUCGUAAAGCCCUGUCAGGUGGGAAGAAACUUGUAGAUGUUAAUACCAUCCGCAAUUGACGGUACCACCGGAGGAAGCACCGGCUAACUCCGUGCCAGCAGCCGCGGUAAUACGGAGGGUGCUAGCGUUGUUCGGAAUUAUUGGGCGUAAAGCGCGUGUAGGUGGUCAGGUAAGUCAGAUGUGAAAGCCUUCUGCUUAACAGAAGAAGUGCAUUUGAAACUGCUUGGCUAGAGUACGGGAGAGGAGAGUGGAAUUCCCGGUGUAGAGGUGAAAUUCGUAGAUAUCGGGAGGAACACCAGUGGCGAAGGCGGCUCUCUGGUCCGAUACUGACGCUGAGACGCGAAAGCGUGGGGAGCAAACAGGAUUAGA
rnacentral:rRNA from 1 species